ACGGUAGACUGGAAAUGCCGCUCUAAGCAGUAAUGUUUAGAUGAAAACCCCGUGAAUUCGGUGGAACCCCAAACCAGCAUUAUGUGGAUGGUGGGCAAUACCGAGCCAAGCCUAAUGAAUUGGUGGUUUGAUGUAAUUAGGAAGGUGUAACGAUCAGGUGGUGAGGAAUCAUACCAAUAACCCACCCACGAGCGCGGGGCAUCCUAACGGGAUGAAGAUAUGAUCUGAACUUUAUGGAAACAUAAAG
rnacentral:ncRNA from 1 species